GAUGAACGCUGGCGGUAUGCUUAACACAUGCAAGUCGAACGGACUCUUCGGAGUUAGUGGCGGACGGGUGAGUAACGCGUGAGAAUCUGGCUUUGGGUUCGGGACAACCACUGGAAACGGUGGCUAAUACCGGAUGUGCCGAGAGGUAAAAGAGAAAUUGCCUGAAGAUGAGCUCGCGUCUGAUUAGCUAGUUGGUGAGGUAAAGGCUCACCAAGGCAGCGAUCAGUAGCUGGUCUGAGAGGAUGACCAGCCACACUGGGACUGAGACACGGCUCAGACUCCUACGGGAGGCAGCAGUGGGGAAUUUUCCGCAAUGGGCGAAAGCCUGACGGAGCAAUACCGCGUGAGGGAAGAAGGCUCUUGGGGUGUAAACCUCUUUUCUUAGGGAAGAACAAAAUGACGGUACCUAAGGAAUCAGCAUCGGCUAACUCCGUG
rnacentral:rRNA from 1 species